rnacentral:rRNA from 1 species
GCAGCACGAUGUAGCAAUACAUUGGUGGCGACCGGCGCACGGGUGAGUAACGCGUAUGCAACCUACCUAUCAGAGGGGAAUAACCCGGCGAAAGUCGGACUAAUACCGCAUAAAACAGGGGUUCCACAUGGAAAUAUUUGUUAAAGAAUUAUCGCUGAUAGAUGGGCAUGCGUUCCAUUAGAUAGUUGGUGAGGUAACGGCUCACCAAGUCCACGAUGGAUAGGGGUUCUGAGAGGAAGGUCCCCCACACUGGUACUGAGACACGGACCAGACUCCUACGGGAGGCAGCAGUGAGGAAUAUUGGUCAAUGGGCGAGAGCCUGAACCAGCCAAGUCGCGUGAAGGAUGAAGGAUCUAUGGUUUGUAAACUUCUUUUAUAUGGGAAUAAAGUGAGGAACGUGUUCCUUUUUGUAUGUACCAUAUGAAUAAGCAUCGGCUAACUCCGUGCCAGCAGCCGCGGUAAUACGGAGGAUGCGAGCGUUAUCCGGAUUUAUUGGGUUUAAAGGGUGCGUAGGUGGUUAAUUAAGUCAGCGGUGAAAGUUUGUGGCUCAACCAUAAAAUUGCCGUUGAAACUGGUUGACUUGAGUAUAUUUGAGGUAGGCGGAAUGCGUGGUGUAGCGGUGAAAUGCAUAGAUAUCACGCAGAACUCCGAUUGCGAAGGCAGCUUACUAAACUAUAACUGACACUGAAGCACGAAAGCGUGGGGAUCAAACAGGAUUAGAUACCCUGGUAGUCCACGCAGUAAACGAUGAUUACUAGCUGUUC